rnacentral:rRNA from 1 species
GAUGAACGCUGACAGAAUGCUUAACACAUGCAAGUCUACUUGAUCCUUCGGGUGAUGGUGGCGGACGGGUGAGUAACGCGUAAAGAACUUGCCCUGCAGUCUGGGACAACAUUUGGAAACGAAUGCUAAUACCGGAUAUUAUGUGAGUUUCGCAUGAAAUUCAUAUGAAAGCUAUAUGCGCUGCAGGAGAGCUUUGCGUCCUAUUAGCUAGUUGGUAAGGUAACGGCUUACCAAGGCAAUGAUGCAUAGCCGAGUUGAGAGACUGAUCGGCCACAUUGGGACUGAGACACGGCCCAA